rnacentral:misc_RNA from 1 species
UCCUAGUUAACCUAGGCAGUCUCAUUAGAGUUCCCACCUUUACGUGUUGGCAACUAAUGACAAGGGUUGCGCUCGUUGCGGGACUUAACCCAACACCUCACGGCACGAGCUGACGACAGCCAUGCAGCACCUGUGCAGAGGCCCCGAAGGGAAACGUCAUCUCUGACGUCGUCCUCUGCAUGUCAAGCCUGGGUAAGGUUCUUCGCGUUGCAUCGAAUUAAACCACAUACUCCACUGCUUGUGCGGGUCCCCGUCAAUUCUUUUGAGUUUCACCCUUGCGAGUGUACUCCUCAGGCGGUAUACUUAGCGCGUUAGCUACGGCACAGCUGGGGUUGAGUCCAGCUACACCUAGUAUACAUCGUUUACGGCAAGGACUAC